rnacentral:rRNA from 1 species
AUUGAACGCUGGCGGCAGGCCUAACACAUGCAAGUCGAGCGGAUGAAGGGAGCUUUCUCCUGGAUUCAGCUGCGGACGGGUGAGUAAUGCCUACGAAUCUGCCUGGUAUUGGGGGAUAACGUCCGGACACGGGCGCUAAUACCGCAUACGUCCUGAGGGAGAAAGUGGGGGAUCUUCGGACCUCACGCUAUCAGAUGAGCCUAGGUCGGAUUAGCUAGUUGGUUGGGUAAAGGCCUACCAAGGCGACGAUCCGUAACUGGUCUGAGAGGAUGAUCAGUCACACUGGAACUGAGACACGGUCCAGACUCCUACGGGAGGCAGCAGUGGGGAAUAUUGGACAAUGGGCGAAAGCCUGAUCCAGCCAUGCCGCGUGUGUGAAGAAGGUCUUCGGAUUGUAAAGCACUGUAAGUUGGGAGGAAGGGCAGUAAGUGAAUACAUUGCUGUUUUGACGUUACCAACAGAAUAAGCACCGGCUAACUUCGUG